rnacentral:rRNA from 1 species
GAUGAACGCUAGCUACAGGCUUAACACAUGCAAGUCGAGGGGAAACGAUAUUGGAAGCUUGCUUCCGAUAGGCGUCGACCGGCGCACGGGUGAGUAACGCGUAUCCAACCUGCCCACCACUCGGGGAUAACCUUGCGAAAGUAAGACUAAUACCCAAUGAUAUCUCUAGAAGACAUCUGAAGGAGAUUAAAGAUUCAUCGGUGAUGGAUGGGGAUGCGUCUGAUUAGCUUGUUGGCGGGGUAACGGCCCACCAAGGCGACGAUCAGUAGGGGUUCUGAGAGGAAGGUCCCCCACACUGGAACUGAGACACGGUCCAAACUCCUACGUGAGGCAGCAGUGAGGAAUAUUGGUCAAUGGGCGAGAGCCUGAACCAGCCAAGUAGCGUGCAGGAUGACGGCCCUAUGGGUUGUAAACUGCUUUUAUAAGGGAAUAAAGUGAGUCUCGUGAGACUUUUUGCAUGUACCUUAUGAAUAAGGACCGGCUAAUUCCGUGCCAGCCGCCGCGGUAA